rnacentral:snRNA from 1 species
UUGCUUCGGCAGCACAUACACUAGAACUGGAAUGGUAGCGAAGAUGAGCAUCACCCCUGUGAAAGGGUAACAUGCAAACUCAUGAAGCGUUCCGUAUUUUU